rnacentral:rRNA from 1 species
UACGUAGGGUGCAAGCGUUAAUCGGAAUUACUGGGCGUAAAGCGUGCGCAGGCGGUUGUGCAAGACAGAUGUGAAAUCCCGGGCUUAACCUGGGAAUGGCAUUUGUGACUGCAGCGGCUAGAGUGUGUCAGAGGGGGUAGAAUUCCACGUGUAGCAGUGAAAUGCGUAGAUAUGUGGAGGAAUACCGAUGGCGAAGGCCAGCCCCUGGGAUAACAC